UAUACACACAGUCAUUUCACUAUGAGGAGAUUGUAGAGGUAUGUGGAGGUGCUGUUACACUGGUCUGGUGCAGACAGGCAGAGACUGUACUCUGCUAACUGUAAAAAGCAUGGAAGGCACAGAAUACACAAUGGAUUGAAGUCACACAGAAGCAUUGCAGAGAAUACAAUGCCACUCAAACUGAUCUGUUGACUUGUGUGCAUUCCAUGUACAUUCACUAUGCAUGAGGUAGAUGACAGAGAGGUUAUAUGGAGUUAGAUGACAGAGAGGUUGCAUGGAGGUAGAUGACAGAGAGGUUAUAUGGAGGUAGAUGACAGAGAGGUUAUAUGGAGUUAGAUGACAGAGAGGUUACAUGGAGAUUGAUGACAGAGAGGUUAUA
ensembl:lncRNA